UGACGAUUCCGCAGAAAAUGCAUCCUGCUAGCUCCCUCCUCUGUAGCCAGCCCAGCUCUGCAGAGCUGUGAGUCAUGGCAGGCAGCACGGUUUUUUUCCUGUCAUUACCACAUCAGCUCAGGCUGAUGCACAGGGGAGCUGGUGGGUUGAGUAAAGAGGUGCCAUUUUUACACGGUCGCUCUCCAGACAGGAGCUGGACUUUUCUCACAAUAUUUUUUUACAGCAUCUCAGCAAAUCAAACUCUGAGCACAGAGGGUCAGGAUGUGCUGCAUAUCAAUGAGGGGGAUGUACAGCAGUCACUGCAUUCUCUUAUCUCCUGCUAUCCCCUGUGGAAAGCUGGACCUCAGCACUGACAUGUCUUGCUGAAGAGGUCUCCAGAAAGACACACAAGUCUGCGGGGAGCAGGAGGAGUCCUUGAACUGUCAGCAGAGGAGGCGGGACAGCACAGAGGCACUGGUGGGCAGAAGGUGGAUUUGGAAAGCUGUGCAUGAUCACUGGCCUUUGAUGAGAGCUCAGAGCUCCCAGGGAAGCUGGGAGGAGUAAGUAUCCACCAUCCUCCAGCAGAAAACAGCAUGGUAAAACAGGGAUCCCACCCUGGUCCUACCCAACAGCUGGGGAGUCUUGUUCUGCUGCCCUGACCAUGUGGAUCUCCCUUCUGAGUUAACAAAAUUAAGUUUGUUAUCUAAGUGAUAGCACUAAGCAGCUAAGUGACUCCAGUUUUUGGCUAAGUGAUCUGAUCUCCUCAGUAAGGAAGGGGAUCUCUCCUCAGAGACCAGUUUGUCCCAGCAGAAGAAAUUGGACAGCUCAGUGUCUGGCUGUAAGCAGAGCUCAGACUCCAAGCUGUGAUUCAGGUAAGGAGCUCUGGGGUGUGAGAAACCAGCUGGGAUAACUCAUGGUUUUGUGGAGCAUGGGGCAGUCCCCCUUUGCCCCAUGCCAUGUCUGUCCCUGACCCAGCUGUUUGGCCAUUCUUCACUCAAGAGGGAAGGGGAAAAGAGCAUCUGCUGAGCAAAUCCAGGAUCUUACAGCUUCUCAAAGGGUUUCACCUAUGACAAGUUUCCAUGUCAAGUCUGGUGUGAGUUGAGGACCAGCACAUUUUUGGGCCCAGUAUGGGAGAUUCUCACACACUUUCAAGCUGACUGAGAGCAUGCCUAAAUCAGUUACCCUGUGAUCUACAUAUGUAAUUUCUACAUUUUGCACAAAUGAGGUCUCUAAAGGGGCUGAAAUCCAAUAGAGGACCAAGGCAAGGAGACAAUAAAGGAAAAGAAUGCACCCAAGAUUUGUUACUGAACAAAAGGGAAACCAAUGGCUUCUCCAUCCACAUCCAUCAAAAACACAAGGAAAUGUUGAUGGGGAGUGACCUCUGAAGAUUUCUAGUCCAGUCUGGUCAGAGCUGGCCAGAGCUAUGUCAGCUCAGCUGUGGUUUGUCCUAACUGCUUCUUGAGAGCCCCACUUCUCUGGUGACCUGUCCAGGUAAGAAACCCCAUAUAGAAAAAAUUAUGUUUUAACCGGAAUUUCUCAAGCCCAACUUGUGGCCAUGGCUCUUUUUUAAACUUGUCACUGAUCAGCUUCUCUCCUCCACAGGACCACAGCACACAAGGAAGGGAAGGAAGGUGUUGCUAAAGGUGUCACUCUGAGUGUGUCCCCAUCACCGUGUCCACAGAGAAGGGAUUUAAUGAGCUCUUUAGGAAGCUCUCAGAGAAAAGCCUGCACUGACAGCCCCACCACUCAGGCAGCUGGGAGCUUUGUUCUGACUGCACACAUUGCUCAAAUACUGAGGGGCAGAGGCUGCAACAGGCACAGUAAUCAGAUUGUUCCUGGCAGGCCCUGACCAUAUGGCAGUGCCACUUGAGCCCUGUCCAGGUUGCCUCUAUAGGGGAAGAAAUUGUCCAAACAAAGUGCAGCUGCUAAGCAAGAUCUCCAAGUUACCUGCAGCUGGAAGAGUUUUGAUGCUGCUGGGACUAAAGUCAGGAGGUUUUGCAUUGGUAGAUAAAGCUAAUUGUUUUUUUUUUAAUUGGGAGAUGAAGACAUCCCACUUCCUGGGGCUGGAGAUGGCAGAAGUCCUGUCUUCAGGACAUGGAGGAGGCCCCCACACUCUGGGGCCAGGUGUGCAUGUACAGACCAAAGAAGUGACUCCAGACCUGUGCCCUCUGCUUACAGCACAACACAUCAACAUUCCCCAUCCUGCUGGGCCUCCGUGCCCAUGGCAAGAGCUGGCCAGGAGCUGCUUUGUGCAGGAACAAGAUCAUCUCUGUCCAGAGGUACUGGGUUGAAAGUAUCUGAGUAAUCAGAGAAUGAUGGAAUCACAGAAUGGUUUGUGUUGGAAGGGACCUUAAAGUUCAUCUCAUUUCACCCCUGCCAUGGGCAGGGACACCUUCCACUAUCCCAGAUUGCUCCAAACUCUGUCCAGCCUGGGCUUGGACACUUCCAGGGAUGGGGAAGCCACAAUUUCUCUGGGCAGCCUGUGCCAGCCAGGACCUCACCACCUUCACAGGGAAAAAUUUCUUCCUAAUAUGUAAUUUGAACCUACUCUCAGCUUGAAGCCAUUCCUCUUUGUCUGAACAAUAAUGGUCACAAGGAGUUUGAUAGUUUCUUCAAAUCAGCUUUCCUGAAUUGAAAAAUAGUUAGAAUGGUUGCCUGUGAACCCACCCGAGGUCUCCCUGGAAAUUACAAACUCCCUGAUUUUUGUUUGCUAACAUAUUGUCUAUUUUUACUGAAACCUUCUCCAAAAGUGUUCAAAAUUUGUCAUCAACCAAAAGCAUUCUGUUUAAAUACAGCUUCUGAAAAAAGUGAAUGCUCAUAAUUCUGCAGAAUAUGGCAAAUGUCAAAUUGAAUUAAUGCCAACUCCACUAAUUUUUUAAAAAGGGGCAAUCUUUCCAUUUAAGUAAGUUCCUAUCAAAUAUUUUGGCCAGCUCCCCUUACUGUGGCCUUAAUUGUGAUCCGCUUAUCCCACUGGAGCCCAUCAAAUGAACAUAGGUGAGGACACGGAACAGAAAUUUCUUGGGAGUGAAAUCAAGGGCAGACGAGGAAUUCCCUACCCCCAUGACAGAAACCCACCCAUUGCCAAGGAAAGCUCAUUGCUCAGACUUCAAACACUACAGCUUGUGCUUAAUUUGGAUACCACGGUUCUCCUGCUAGGAUGAAAAAGUGCCAGUCUUACUCCAGGCAGAAGAAAUUGGGGGUUAGCAGAGCUGCCAGGCCCAUCUUUGCCCAGGAGCAAUGCCAUGGUCUGGAGCAGCGACGGCAGCAGCAGCCGGUCCGACGGACGAUGGUGAGUUGGAUAUGGAGGGAGGAGGCCUUUUUUACACACUGGGGGGUCAGCCUGGCUUUCUUUCACCUUAAACAGGAAGUUAUCACUCCAGAGCACAGCCCAGUGCCAUUCACCUGUGAGGUCUCAGCAGUGGUGGAAGGGAUAACGAGAGGUGAGGGCUGCAGGUGGAAUCUUCAGGUUGGGUGUUAGGAAAAACACCUUCCCCCAGUGGGUGGUGCAGCCCUGGGAUGGGUCACAGAGUGUGGGAUUCUCAAGACUUGGCCAAACAAAGCCACAUCCGACUGCCAACAGCGCUGCUCCAAGCAGCAGGAUGGACCAGAGACCUCCCAAGGGACGGACUCUCCUGCCAUGUUUUAUUCCAUGUCCCAGUCUGGCAGACUGUGCCAUUAUCUGUUCCACAGAGCUCAGGUGUAGCAUCCUCUGCUCAGAGCUCCCGUGGGCAGGCAGACCUUGCUAAAAACACUGAGCCAUUUCUGUGCAACGAUUUUUUGGGGGGAGGUGAGCACAUACAGGCACAGGCAGCUUAAAUGUUGGAAUCAUUUCCAGCCUACAGGUUCUGUCCUCAUAAAGCUUUGGAGAAAUACCUUUUUUUUUCAGGUCAGCUGAUGUUGACACAGCUGGAUGGGCUGUUGAUGAACCUUCUUGACCUCAGGGCCAAGGAGUGAAGGUGGACUGCUCUUGGACCUCAUCCCAGACCCUUCUGAGGCCUCAGCACUUCUCAAAACUCAGUCCUGACGCCUCUGGGGCCUCAGCCCCCACCCAGGCUCCCAGGCUGGCUGGUUUGAUUGUUCUCUACCUUCAAACAAGGACAAAUGAGGUGGAAUUCAGAGAAGAGCAACAGGAAUGAUUACGGGGGUGGAGGUAAUGGCUGAGGAGGAAAGAUUUUGAAAUUUAAAGAUGGAUAGCCAGGCUACAAGCCUACAUACAGAGACAUUAUCAUCAGUCAUUAAGCAACACAAGGCUUCAGAGCCAGGGCAGGCUCAUGAUUCAAGACAGCCCAGUCUCCAAAGUGCUGUAGCCCAGAGGAGCAGCGCAAGGCCAGGUGGAAGGAGCCUGCUCAGGACUGUGAGCAUGAGCAUUUAUUUUUAUUUUUUCUCUCAAUGCAACAUCUCACAGUACGAAGUGAAAUUCUGUUUGGCACUAGGCAGUAGCACAGGGGCACCAGGGAAACAGAACCGCCUAGCAUCACUGAUGAUCUUGGAGGUCUUUUCCAGCCUUAGUGGCUCUAUGGUUCUAUAAUUCUACGAUUCUAUGACUCUGAGUCUAUGAUUUUAUGACUAUGAUUCUGUGAUUCUAUGACUCUGUGAUUCUGUGGCUCCAUGACUCCACAUUCAGGGAGCAUAUGAGGAAGUUGGAAUUUUCUUGGCACAGCACUGAUCAGCCAGAGAAAGUGCCAGAGCCCCACUGCUCAGGAUACUGAAGGUAGACUGGACAAAGCAUCGGGCAGUAGCCAAUGCUCGUUUUCUCGGUCAUCCAUGUCUCUGUGCAUCAUAUAUCACGGCUGUGUGUCCAGAGGAAAGAAAGAUCCCCUCCAACCCAGCAGCCCUGUAACGGAUGGACCUUCCCGAUUCGCAGCGAGCUGACAGCUUGUGAGAACAACAGCUUGAAUUACUGAAAGAACUUUUCCCACUGAGUUAAUCUGCAAUGGAUGUAGGUGACCUUCUAAAGGCAUCUAUUAAUCAAAAAACCAGUGCCCAUUCACCGUGCUAGGCUGAGCCCUUUGGGGGAGGGGGAGAUACUAAUUUCCCUCUGAGAUAAAUCAUAAUUUGACAAUAA